UGGGAUUACCUAAACAAGAAGAGGGGAAGAGAAAGAGCUACUCUUUGCAAAUUAUUUCCUCAUUUUCUUUUCUCUGAAAAAUCUAAGUGGUCCGUGACUCAGAUGCUUUGAUGACUGUCAUGUGGUGAAAAAGCCAAGGGAACAAAUCGCCAGGAGGCAAGUUGGUGAUAGAGAGGAACUACAGGCUGAAAAAAUCCUUAAACACAGAUGAAAAACACGUCAUUUUGUUAUGAGAAGUGAAUUUACAGUGUUUUAAAACCCACAUAAUGUUAUAAGGACAGUUGCAACAAUGAUACGUGUACUGUAUGCAGAUAAUGACUUGUUUUCACGUAUGACAGUGUGGUACUCGUAGAGCCUUAAAGAUGUUCACGGAAAACCCAACAAUAGCUGGACCUAACCUGGACAAGACAGUGACAACCUAAAAUUGAAAGAGGGUUUAUUGUAAGCAAAAACCACCAGGAGGAUACCGACGCUGGAAAGCAGAAACAUUUCCAGGAAGCUGAGCCAGAACACCAAAAGAUCUACAAAUGGGAAAAAAAAAGUCAAACUAAAAAUCUCUACACACACACAAGACAGAACUCAACUCAAAGGAAUAAACUGAAUAUUGUAAACAAUUAGUUACAGCAAGCCAAAAAUAAUCCAAAUACGUUGACAAAUAACCAAGACCGCAAAUACCCCUGGAUUACAAUAGUACUUUUUUCACAGCUUUGUUUAAUUUUAUGUUUCACUGUAUUUCACUUUUUGUUCAGUGAACAUCUUUCCUUCAGUACAAAUCUCUAGAUUUGCACUACAACAUUUCCCAAACUCUGUUUGAAGGAAUUCAACUGAAAUACUUUUUGCUUGUUGUUGAGAACUUGUCUCAUCUGUACACCUCCAUACUCCUAACACUAAGAGGUAUUUGUCAGUCAAUUUUCAGCCCAGUAGGACAUUUUACACUGAAUUUCAUUUUCAGUUCAGCAACCAGUUUUGAGGUGUUGCUUCCUAAAGUUUGAUAUCUAAUCUCACGAUGGAGGCUUUGCACUUUUUCUAUUUGACAGGCGUUGGUACUCCAUAAUAAUGAACUAUUCUCACACCAGGCUCUCUCUGUUUAGUGCCACUAAGUCUUUUUUUUUUUUUUUACUUGGCCUAAAAUCACAAAAUUAGUUUAUGAAUGUACCAUCACUAUUUAUAACUGAA